CUUUAUUUCGGUGCUUUUUUUUUUUCUUGAGAUGUCAUACACUUUGGAUUCUAGCCAAUCAUUUUACCUUUCCAAGGAGAGUAGGCGGGCCCAGGUACGUACGUUCUUUUAGAGCAGAGCUACAGAUUAAAAAUGCCCAAGGCGAAGCGGUCAAAGUCUGGCUGUACUUCACAGCAAAAGAUGCAAACUCAGCAGCCUGCAACAAGUGCUUUAAGGUGAUACUGUGCAAAGGAGGUAACUCCUCGAAUCUGAUGAAACACCUGGCGACGCAUAGCGUUUUUUUAAAAGCCGAGAAAUGCGCCGUGUUUGAUAGCUUGCUGCGAGACCUCACACCGUGCACAUCUACUGCGGGUGUGGUGCCUGUUAUCGGACCUGGAGUUAGCAACAUCCCCCAAGAACCCGAAGAGUAGAGUCCUGGAUCCUAGCCCUGUCAGUGUAACAGAAAUGAUGACGGAUGAUGAUGGCAGCAGCAGCCGUUCUUCUCUGGGAUAAGGACCCUCUUGAAUGCCCUGUUUCUCUUCUGAACACAGAUGUCAAAAUCCUUGCAAAGGUGUUGGCGCGUCAUCUAGAAAGGGUGGCUCUGAAAAUGAUCUCUCCUGACCAAACAGGUGACACUCCUGUCUCCUUUGGUGCCAGUGCACAGCUGGCUCCACUCAGCAAAAAGGAAAAGCUGGGGAGAAGUGCUGCCCAGCCCCAGAUUUACUGUCAACUUUCCUUUGGUGAUGGCUUUGAUGAACCUAAUAGCUUAGCUGUUUCUGAAUACCCUGCUUUAUAACCUUUUUG
ensembl:lncRNA